AGUGAACGCUGGCGGUAGGCCUAACACAUGCAAGUCGAACGGCAGCACAGUAAGAGCUUGCUCUUACGGGUGGCGAGUGGCGGACGGGUGAGGAAUACAUCGGAACCUACUUUUUCGUGGGGGAUAACGUAGGGAAACUUACGCUAAUACCGCAUACGACCUACGGGUGAAAGCAGGGGAUCUUCGGACCUUGCGCGAUUGAAUGAGCCGAUGUCGGAUUAGCUAGUUGGCGGGGUAAAGGCCCACCAAGGCGACGAUCCGUAGCGGGUCUGAGAGGAUGGUCAGCCACACUGGAACUGAGACACGGUCCAGACUCCUACGGGAGGCAGCAGUGGGGAAUAUUGGACAAUGGGCGCAAGCCUGAUCCAGCCAUACCGCGUGGGUGAAGAAGGCCUUCGGGUUGUAAAGCCCUUUUGUUGGGAAAGAAAAGCAGCAGGUUAAUACCCCGCUGUUCUGACGGUACCCAAAGAAUAAGCACCGGCUAACUUCGUG
rnacentral:rRNA from 1 species